rnacentral:rRNA from 1 species
UACGAAGGGGGCUAGCGUUGUUCGGAAUCACUGGGCGUAAAGCGCACGUAGGCGGACUCUUAAGUCGGUGGUGAAAUCCUGGAGCUCAACUCCAGAACUGCCUUCGAUACUGGGAGUCUCGAGUUCGGGAGAGGUGAGUGGAACUGCGAGUGUAGAGGUGAAAUUCGUAGAUAUUCGCAAGAACACCAGUGGCGAAGGCGGCUUACUGGUCCGGUUCUGACGCUGAGGCGGCGAAAAGCGUGGGGAGCAAACAGG